UCUCGGCGCCUCCCACCUGCAGUGCCAUCUCUCCUUCAGGCCCCACCUCGCCUCCAGACCCCUUCCCCUGCAGAACCCUCAGAGGGCCCGUGGGAGCCGUAAAGGGGACAGGCUGUGGCCCUUCCUGGCUUGGGAGUGAUUUAUUGAACACAGGCUAUAGGACAGGCAUGUGUCUCUGCCCCCAUCAUAAUUCCCACCUGACAGAUAAGGAAACCAAGGCACGAAGAGGUUAAGACCCUUGCCUGAGGUCCAGCUCCCAUGAAUCUGAAGUUCUUCACAUGGCUAUAGCCAGCACAAACUUCUGGAAACAUCAACCCGAUCCCAUCUUGCUGUUGCUGACCUGCUUGUGGCUUUUUCUUGCUCUCAGAAGAAAUUCCAAACUUCUAGUCAUCUCUCUGACCUUACCUCCUACUCACUAUCUGCUGGUCUCAUGGGAAUCCUCUUCUUUUCUCUGGCACCCUAAGCUCCUUCCCACCUCAGAGACUUUGCACCUGCUGUUCCCUCUGCCUGUAAUGCUUUCCCACAGCUCUUCCUGCGGCUGGUCCCUUGCUUUAGGGUUCACCUCAAGUGUCACUCUUCCGAGUAUCUUAAUCCAAGCAGGCUCCUGACCCUCAGUUGGCUGAUCCCCAUCUCAUUGCCCUUCCUUAUUUUUUUUUUAUAGCUUUUAUCAUUAUCUGCUAUUACCUUGCUUAGUAGCCCGAUUGUUUGCUGACUGUCUCCCGCCACUAGUAUGCAGUCUCCACCAGAGCAGAGACAUUGCCUGUAACUGCCAGCGAACCCCAGGAGUCACCUCCCCGAGGAAGGACCCUUGUCCGACCGUCCCCCAAGCCAGAUGGGUUCCAUCUCCAAGCUCCAGGAGGGUGACACGGGAAGCUGCUCACGUCUGGCCACAGGGCGCAGGCCUCCAGGACCCUCUCCAGCCACAGCGGGUCCAGCUUCUGCCUGAAGCACACAUUCUCUACCACGGACGUGUUCUGGACCCAGGUCUCCUGGGGCACCUCCCCGAGGAGAGCAGACAGCAGGGAGGACUUCCCUGCCCCCACGGCACCAACAACAGCCAGCAGAUGACCUUGGGGCACAGUGAGGUUGAUCCUGGCAACACAGGAGGGGAAACAUGUUCCUGGGUAGGGCCCAGUCUGAGUCUGCGCAGGACUGGGCAACCCCAGACGGAGCCAGCAUUUCCUCUGGCUUUUCAUCCAGAGGUCCUUCCCUCUCCCAGUCCCUGUCUGGCGACUCAAGCAGCCAUCCUUCCCCAUGCACGUGCAUAUGCAUGCACACACAUGUGCAUUCACACAAGCACACACAUAUAAGGCACACAUGCACUACAGCACACACAUACACGCACGCAGCCUCCCACACAAAGUCAGGCAAGCACACACCCACGCACACCACACAUACCACACACGUGCAAACGCGAGCACGGACACGUGUGCACACGCACAUCUACACAAACACACGAGCACAUCUGUUCUAACGCAUGCACACAUAUGCUCACACCUGUGUGUGCACAUGCACAUGCACCUGCGUGUGUACCUAUGAACACCUGCAUACAUGUAUGUACACACACACACACUGCACACACUGCUGCGGCAGGACGGUUUACCGGC